rnacentral:rRNA from 1 species
GUGGGGAAUAUUGGACAAUGGGCGCAAGCCUGAUCCAGCCAUGCCGCGUGAGUGAUGAAGGCCUUAGGGUUGUAAAGCUCUUUUGUCCGGGAAGAUAAUGACUGUACCGGAAGAAUAAGCCCCGGCUAACUUCGUGCCAGCAGCCGCGGUAAUACGAAGGGGGCUAGCGUUGUUCGGAAUCACUGGGCGUAAAGCGCACGUAGGCGGACCAUUAAGUCCGGGGUGAAAGCCUGGAGCUCAACUCCAGAACUGCCUUUGAUACUGAUGGUCUCGAGUAUGGAAGAGGUUGGUGGAACUGCGAGUGUAGAGGUGAAAUUCAUAGAUAUUCGCAAGAACACCGGUGGCGAAGGCGGCCAACUGGUCCAUUACUGACGCUGAGGUGCGAAAGCGUGGGGAGCAAACAGGAUUAGAUACCCGGGUAGUCC